rnacentral:misc_RNA from 1 species
AAGUCGUAACAAGGUUUCCGUAGGUGAACCUGCGGAAGGAUCAUUAACACGUAUCCACGUAUCAACCCCUUUGUGCUUUUUGUUUGAACGUAUACCCUGUCCUACUUUGGGAUUCGCUCGCCCUCGGGCUUUUCGGAGCCGGAACGUUGAAUGGUUUGAACUGGGCCCUCGGGUUCUGGUUCAAGUUCUCGACGAGCGUUUUCUGGGACAGGUUAUCAUUUUACAUGUUAACCAUUCAGGCAUGGCCUUUUAAACAUUAACCCCUUUGUAACAUUCUUGCUAAUCGAAUUUGAUUGUUCGGUCGUUUUCCUUCGGGAAAUUGUAUUGAAUAUCAUUAUUACGAAAUGCUUGACAACUCUUAGCAACGGAUAUCUUGGUUCUC